rnacentral:lncRNA from 1 species
UUUUCCCUUCGUGAACCCCGUUGAGCCUUAGCCAUUUUAUUCAUAAUAAACCCCAUGUUAACCACUAAUCAUUCAUUUCUUCCAUCACUCGGCAUGAUUGUUGUGAGUUACAAGAUGUGCAUAAAGCUAAGUUUGGGGUGGUAAUCUUGAAAGAUAGGGCAAGUGCAUAAUAAGAGAUCAUACAAAAAGAAGAGAUUUGUGUAUGUCCAAAAAGAAAAAAAAACAAAAGAGAAAAAUGCACUUGCCGAGACUUAAGACUCUAACACCUAUAAAAUGCUCACAAAGAAUUGAGUGGAAAAGAGUCAAAAGUGUGAAAUUAACCCCAGAGUAUAAGUGAUUCACGGAAAAAAAAAGAGAAAGAAAAA